UCCUCGCUAGUAUAGUGGACAGUAUCUCCUGCCUGUCACGCUGGAAGACCGGGUUCGAUUCUCGACGGGGAG
rnacentral:tRNA from 1 species